rnacentral:rRNA from 1 species
AGAGUUUGAUCAUGGCUCAGAACGAACGCUGGCGGCAUGCUUAUCACAUGCAAGUCGAACGGGCGCCUUCGGGCGCUAGUGGCGCACGGGUGAGUAACGCGUGGGAACCUGUCAUGAAGUGGGGAACAACCACUGGAAACGGUGGCUAAUACCGCAUACGCCCUGAGGGGCAAAGGCUUCGGCCGCUUUGUGAGGGGCCCGCGUCCGAUUAGCUAGUUGGUGGGGUAACGGCCUACCAAGGCUACGAUCGGUAGCUGGUCUGAGAGGAUGAUCAGCCACACUGGGACUGAGACACGGCCCAGACUCCUACGGGAGGCAGCAGUGGGGAAUAUUGGACAAUGGGCGAAAGCCUGAUCCAGCAAUGCCGCGUGAGUGAAGAAGGCCUUAGGGUUGUAAAGCUCUUUCGCCUGCGACGAUGAUGACGGUAGCAGGAGAAGAAGCCCCGGCUAAUUCCGUG